GCAUGCGACUCUUCGGAGGCGUUACACAGGUGCUGCAUGGCCGUCGUCAGCUCGUGUCGUGAGAUGUUUGGUUAAGUCCAGCAACGAGCGCAACCCCUGUUGCCAGUUACCAGCACGUGAAGGUGGGGACUCUGGCGAGACUGCCCAGAUCAACUGGGAGGAAGGUGGGGACGACGUCAGGUCAGUAUGGCCCUUAUGCCCAGGGCUGCACACGUACUACAAUGCCCAGUACAGAGGGGGCCGAAGCCGCGGGGCGGAGGAAAUCCUAAAAACUGGGCCCAGUUCGGACUGUAGGCUGCAACCCGCCUACACGAAGCCGGAAUCGCUAGUAAUGGCGCAUCAGCUACGGCGCCGUGAAUACGUUCCCGGGUCUUGUACACACCGCCCGUCACAUCAUGGAAGCCGGUCGCACCCGAAGUAUCUGAAGCCAACCGCAAGGAGGCAGGGUCCUAAGGUGAGACUGGUAACUGGGAUGAAGUCGUAACAAGGUAGCCGUAGGGGAACCUG
rnacentral:rRNA from 1 species